rnacentral:rRNA from 1 species
GACGAACGCUGGCGGCGUGCUUAACACAUGCAAGUCGAACGAAAAUACCAAGCUUGCUUGGUUGAUUAGUGGCGAACGGGUGAGUAACACGUGAGUAACCUGCCCCUUACUUUCCUGGAUAACUGCUCGAAAGGGUAGCUAAUACGGGAUAUUCUGACCAGCCUGCAUGGGUUGGUUUGGAAAGGUUGUUUUUCUGGUAAGGGAUGGGCUCGCGGCCUAUCAGCUUGUUGGUGGGGUGAUGGCCUACCAAGGCUUUGACGUGUAGCCGGCCUGAGAGGGUGGACGGUCACACUGGGACUGAGAUACGGCCCAGACUCCUACGGGAGGCAGCAGUGGGGAAUAUUGCACAAUGGGCGCAAGCCUGAUGCAGCGACGCCGCGUGAGGGAUGAAGGCCUUCGGGUUGUAAACCUCUUUCGUCAGGGAACAAGGCACUGCUUUUUUGGUGGUGUUGAGGGUACCUGGAUAAGAAGCGCCGGCUAACUACGUG